rnacentral:rRNA from 1 species
GACGUAGGGCGCGAGCGUUGUCCGGAGUUAUUGGGCGUAAAGAGCUCGUAGGCGGCUUGUCGCGUCGACCGUGAAAACUUGGGGCUCAACCCCAAGCCUGCGGUCGAUACGGGCAGGCUCGAGUUCGGUAGGGGAGACUGGAAUUCCUGGUGUAGCGGUGAAAUGCGCAGAUAUCAGGAGGAACACCGGUGGCGAAGGCGGGUCUCUGGGCCGAUACUGACGCUGAGGAGCGAAAGCAUGGGGAGCGAACAGG